rnacentral:rRNA from 1 species
GACGAACGCUGGCGGCGUGCUUAACACAUGCAAGUCGAACGGAAAGGCCCUGCUUUUGUGGGGUGCUCGAGUGGCGAACGGGUGAGUAACACGUGAGUAACCUGCCCUUGACUUUGGGAUAACUUAAGGAAACUGGGGCUAAUACCGGAUAGGAGCUCCUGCUGCAUGGUGGGGGUUGGAAAGUUUCGGCGGUUGGGGAUGGACUCGCGGCUUAUCAGCUUGUUGGUGGGGUAGUGGCUUACCAAGGCUUGGACGGGUAGCCGGCCUGUGAGGGUGACCGGCCACAUUGGGACUGCGAUACGGCCCAGACUCCUACGGGAGGCAGCAGUGGGGAAUAUUGCACAAUGGGCGGAAGCCUGAUGCAGCAACGCCGCGUGCGGGAUGACGGCCUUCGGGUUGUAAACCGCUUUCGCCUGUGACGAAGCGUGAGUGACGGUAAUGGGUAAAGAAGCACCGGCUAACUACGUG